GAUGAACGCUGGCGGCGUGCCUAAUACAUGCAAGUCGAGCGAACGGACGAGAAGCUUGCUUCUCUGAUGUUAGCGGCGGACGGGUGAGUAACACGUGGAUAACCUACCUAUAAGACUGGGAUAACUUCGGGAAACCGGAGCUAAUACCGGAUAAUAUUUUGAACCGCAUGGUUCAAAAGUGAAAGACGGUCUUGCUGUCACUUAUAGAUGGAUCCGCGCUGCAUUAGCUAGUUGGUAAGGUAACGGCUUACCAAGGCAACGAUGCAUAGCCGACCUGAGAGGGUGAUCGGCCACACUGGAACUGAGACACGGUCCAGACUCCUACGGGAGGCAGCAGUAGGGAAUCUUCCGCAAUGGGCAAAAGCCUGACGGAGCAACGCCGCGUGAGUGAUGAAGGUCUUCGGAUCGUAAAACUCUGUUAUUAGGGAAGAACAUAUGUGUAAGUAACUGUGCACAUCUUGACGGUACCUAAUCAGAAAGCCACGGCUAACUACGUGC
rnacentral:rRNA from 1 species